GGUUAAGAUCAGCGGGAUCAGCUCCACAAGUACAUGCAGAACUGGCCACGCGAUUUAGUAAUUUGAGGUGUUCCGGUGUACAUACGUGACCCAAUCUCAUUCGAAUUAACAUACUAGUUGCAGGUUUUGGCAGAGAGAUUUUAGCAAACCAAGGUUUGGCAGGAAUUGAUUUUUGAAUGCUUCGAUAAUGUAACGCAGCAGCACCUGCACCAGAUGUCCAUAAAUUCCUCCAUUCCUUUCGUAGGUAUAAUUUAGGCAGUGCCAACAGGUCUUCAGACACAUUCUUAAACGGAAACAUGUCCCCACAACUAAUGGCAUCUCGAGCUAAAUCAUCCACCCUUUCAUUACCUUUAAUCCCUCUGUGUCCAGGGAUCCAGGCAAUGGAAACCGAAUACCCUUUAAUGUGACAUUUUAACAAUAGGCUACGGAUUUGAUAAAUAAUUGGGUUAUUAGAUUUAGAUUUGAAAGGAAAUUUACAUAUUGCCUGUAGUGAACUUAGGGAAUCUGAGAAAAUAAUUGUUUUUUUGAGAUGCAUUAUAAUGAUGAACUCUAUUGCUUUCAGGAUUCCAAAGCACUCACCACUGUACACAGAGGAUUCUGGUGGCAACUUUAUUUUUUGAUAAUAAGAAAGAAUACCAUCACUAGCAUUUGCUAAAAAGGAAUAAGGAACUCCAUCUUCCCCAGCCUCCUUACGGUUUCUGAUAGCUUGUGUGCAAUCAUCAUCCCACCAAGGCGGAGAAGGUAUUUUACCUGAUGCACUGUUUUUAACCGGAAAAAUUUCAUCAGCUGCUUCAGUCAUUAUCUGAGCUAAUGCAACUGAACAACUAACUACAUUACUAUCAUCUAUGGACGGUAAACACAACAAUUUCUCCUCUACACGGGUUUUGAAAAGUUUCCAAUCAACAUUACUUAAAUUAUACUUAAGCCUAGGGCUAGGUUUCGGAGAUGGCGGAAUAGAAGAUGGAAAUGUAAUAAUGAUAGGGUAGUGAUCACUCCCAUAUGUUGAUUCCAGAGUAUGCCAAGUGAGAGAAGCCGCAAGAUCGACUGAUCAAAUUGAUAAAUCAAUAGCGCUAAUUGACUCUGUUGGAGCUGUUCGACGGGUUGGAGAACCAUUGUUUAAAACACAAAGAUUGUGUUGGUCUAUGAUAUGAAUGAGGCGAUCUCCAUUAUAAUUAGACGAUGAACUACCCCAAACCUGGUGAUGUGAGUUAAAAUCUCCUAAAAUUAAGACGGGCCUAGGAAGAGAAGAAAUUAUUUGUUCAAGCUCAACAAAAAUAGAUGAUGAGGGAUGAGGAAUAUAUACAGAAAUAAUACAGAUGUUAUUUACAAUGGCAGCAACAAUUGAAAAAUCAUCGCUAUGGGAUGGAAGAUGAAAAGGUGAACAUGAUAUGGAAUUCCUGACAAGUAGAGCUACUCCGCCCCAUCCGCCAGGAGUGCCAGGUCGCGAAGGACGGUCCUCUCUGAGACAUGAAUAUCCCGUGACUCUAAGAAGAGCCCC